AACCUUUCAUUUAUCUUCCUCCUCUCUAAAACCUAACUGAGGAAGAAAUCCUAAGUUGGUUGGUAUUUGAUUUCAAGGGAAGAUCUGAAAAGAAAAGAGUUUUGGUAACCUUACAAAUCUAAAAUUUAGUGAUAUAAAAUGUAUUUUUAUUAUUUAUCUAACAUCAUCCCUUGGUAUGAGUUUGGCAGAAAACGCGAUGUUGAAGUGCAAAGACAUAAAUUGAUGGUUGCUUACCGCAUCAUGGUAUCCGCCAUCAGAAGAAGUCCUUAAAAGUUGUUUCGAUGCAGCACUUACAGAUUAUAAGUUAGCUGCUGAUUGACGAACACAUAUCUAUUGUCUUGUCUCAUAUGCUGUCUCGUGUUAAUGAUAAUAAAUAAAAAACAAGAGUAAUAAUACAGCCUAUGAGAUAGGAGAUCUCUAUUCCUGAUUGAGAGGCUGUAAUUUCUAAUGCAUUUACAUAUUUUCUGCACUUCAGGUUUUCUUGUAUUUUUCCCCCAAUAAUAUAAACUUUACAUAUGCUUCACAUUUUAUAUUAAAAUUAAGAUUUUUUAUAUUAUAAAUCAAGUAUUCACAUUUAUCUUUAUUUUCACACAGCCAAAUUUUCAGGUGAGAGUAGGAAAAGAAUGCAGCAGAAUCUGUUUCAACUUUCAACUUGCUUCCAUAUUCCAAAUUUCCAAUUCAUUGAUUAUUCUCUCUAAUACAUUUGAAGUAACAAACAAAAUUUCUUGUGCAUUUUUGUCUUACUUGGCUAUUUCCAUAAUAGAACAAUUCAAAUGUGACAAGAUUGUUGUAAAAGAAUCUACACUACUAAAACAAAAUGAAUGCAGUAGCCAACAGAAGAAACUGCAUUUUGUUCCUUCAUGUAGUGAAUAAGAUGCUAAAUGACUGACACUUGAAUGAUUAUGCUGCAGGAGUUCCAUUAAGAACUUGGAACAAAAGUGCCAACAUAUCCAACCCCUACGACGAAGAAUGCGACAGAUUGUACGAAAAGAUAUAAGAAGAAGCGGUUCUUCCCAUAGGCUAGAUCAUACCAUCCACAGAAAAACAGGUAGGCCGCCAUACCAAGUUCUAGGAAAUUAAAUCUGUUAAUCAUCAACAAAAAACAGAAAUGUGAAAUAGUUAGUGCUAUUUAUACAAAGUGCAUUUUAAGUUGUAUGCAAAAUGAUCGCUGUCAUGCAAAUAAAAGAAGGGGCGGCCCGAUGCACGAGACUCCCACUUAAUGGGGUCUGGAGAGGGUAGAUGUAUGCAGUCUUACUCUAUGAGGGGAGAGGCUAUCAUGUAAAUGCAAACACUAAAUGCGGGAAUCAAAUGAACUCAUGUCUAUGUAGCUCAUUCUAUGGGAUGAUAGAUAUACUAUUUGUAAUAUAAUUUAUUUGAGGAAUAUUAGUUUUCUGCACUUAAGCCUUUGAAAUUUAUUCUUGUUGCUGAUUUGACUACAUGUGAACAAACUAUAUCAAUCAUCACUUGAUAUCUUAAACUUUGGAUAAAUUUAAAAUGCAUGGUCAGGGUGUUAAGGAUUCCUUCUAGUUUAAGAAAAUGCUGAAGGGAUCACAAAACAGUGUUUCAUUCCCUUCUUUAUUUCAGAUCUGCAUUCAAUUUUAUUUGCCUUUAUUAAGAAUUAAACCUUCCUUUGCCAUCUGUCUCUUCUCUACACCAUUUUACACCCCAGAAUGAGGUGCACGAAAAACAUUUUCCACAAGAAUGUAGUAAAACUUACCUUUCACCAAUCCUGAUACGAGAUUUCUUCGGUGUUUUGCCACCGGAUUUUGUUUUAAGAGCAUCUCCCAAUUUUUCAGUAACUACCCAUUCAUUCACUCUUCCGGCCUCUAGCAACCCUAUGAGUGUUGCCUUUGUCCUAUGCAUUGACAUGACAUUUUCAAAAAGGAUCCAGAAAAACAAUAAGUGGAGUGACCUGCAAAAGAUGGUGUUUGGAAAGUUACUUACAAGUGAAGGUAAGAAAACCUACUCUGCAAAUUUAUGCUAACUUAAAAAUUCUUACCUUGGAGUUCCCACAGCGUUAAGGAGUGUAAUGAUACAAGGUAUAUAAACUGCACCCCACUUUGGAACUUCUACUUCUGGAACUAAAACACUUGCUGGCAAAACGAUACAGUAGAAUAUAAAUGUGACCACAUGUCCUAUGAUCUUCCGGACCAAGAAAAAACUAUAAAUCACGUAGAACUUCUUCCACGCGGAAACUCUCUGCACGAUAUCGUAAUAAAAGAAUUAGAAGAGAAGAUGAGUAAUUAUGACUUGACUGAUUAAAGAAACAUAUGGACAUUAAAGUAAAGAAAUACUAGGAUACUAAUUGAUACCUUGUUUCUUAUGAUUUCCAUUGCCAUUUUUCUGAAGAGAUUAGCAGGGCCACAUGACCAUCGGUGCUGCUGAUAACGGAAGGCUUUGAAGGUGCUUGGCAAUUCAUUGUUCACCUAAAUUUAUAUUGGAUAAACUAGUGAAAAUCUUAGUCUAGGAAAAAAACCAAAAUACUAGGAACUGGAUAUAUAACUGUAGUAACUGAUUGCACAAUCUUAUUUUCUAAACAAUUCUUUCAAGAAACUCCUAAGUAUGUCUAUUUUGUAGUCUUAGCCUUCUCAAAAAGUCAUGUCCUAUUAUUCAAUAGGGGAAACUAACUGCAUUUUCAGGUGAAACAACAAGGAUUAAAAUUCAAGGCCCUUCCACCCA
rnacentral:lncRNA from 1 species